UUGGGUUUAAAGGGUGCGCAGGCGGGCCUUUAGGCCGGCGGUGAAAAUUCGGGGCUCAGCCCCGUCCGGCCGUUGAAACUGGGGGCCUUGAGUGGGCGAGAAGAAGGCGGAAUGCGUGGUGUAGCGGUGAAAUGCAUAGAUAUCACGCAGAACCCCGAUUGCGAAGGCAGCCUUCCGGCGCCCUACUGACGCUGAGGCACGAAAGUGCGGGGAUCGAACAGG
rnacentral:rRNA from 1 species